rnacentral:rRNA from 1 species
UCAAAAAUUUUAAACUUUUGCAUUUAAAUUUUAUCUUAAUCCAACAUCGAGGUCGCAAACUCUUUUUCUUAUUUGUACUAAAAAAAAAAAUUACGCUGUUAUCCCUAAGGUAAUUGAUUCUUUUAAUCAUAAAUUAUGGAUCAUAAUUUCAUAAAUUAAUGUUAAAUUUUUAAAAAAAGUUUUUUUAAUUUUUCUAUCACCCCAAUAAAAUAAUUAAUUAAUUUUAAAUUUAAAUUAUAUAUAAAAUUUUUAAAUUAAAUAACUAUAAAACUCUAUAGGGUCUUCUCGUCUUUUAUAAUUAUUUUAGCUUUUUAACUAAAAAAUUAAAUUUUAUUUUUAAAAAAGAGACAGUUCAUAUUUCAUCAAAUCAUUCAUACAAGUCUUCAAUUAAAAGACUAUUGAUUAUGCUACCUUUGUACAGUCAAUAUACUGCAGCCCUU